rnacentral:rRNA from 1 species
GACGAACGCUGGCGGCGUGCCUAAUACAUGCAAGUCGAACGCAGUGGGGACGGGUGAGUAACACGUGGGUAACCUCCCAUCAGAGGGGAUAACACUUGGAAAAUGGUGCUAAACCGUUACGGAUGGCUGGACCCGCGGUGCAUUAGCUAGUUGGUGAGGUACCGGCGCACCAAGGCCACGCUGCAUAGCCGACCUGAGAGGGGGAUCGGCAACACGGGGACUGAGACACGGCCCAGACUCCUACGGGAGGCAGCAGUAGGGAAUCUUCGGCAAUGGACGAAAGUCUGACCGAGCAACGCCGCGUGAGUGAAGAAGGUUGUCGGAUCGUAAAACUCUGUUGUUAGAGAAGCGGUAUCUAACCAGAAAGCCACGGCUAACUACGUGCCAGCAGCCGCGGUAAUAC